rnacentral:rRNA from 1 species
CACGUAGGGCGCAAGCGUUGUCCGGAAUUAUUGGGCGUAAAGAGCUCGUAGGCGGUCUGUUACGUCUGCUGUGAAAACCCGGGGCUUAACCCUGGGCUUGCAGUGGAUACGGGCAGACUAGAGGCAGGUAGGGGAGAAUGGAAUUCCCGGUGUAGCGGUGAAAUGCGCAGAUAUCAGGAGGAACACCGGUGGCGAAGGCGGUUCUCUGGGCAUUACCUGACGCUGAGGAGCGAAAGUGUGGGGAGCGAACAGG